CUGGGAAGGGCAUACCCCGGGAACUGGGGGCAAUUCUUGAUAGGCAGAGAGGCCUGGAAUGGUUCUCUGUUCAAAAGGGGUUAAACACAUGCUGUUUAAUCUUGCCCGAGGAUAGGGCCGCACCCGAUCAGGUCGCUGGUGAGGUAAUGGCUCACCAGGCCUAUAACCGGUACGGGCCGUGAGAGCGGGAGCCCGGAGAUGGGCACUGAGAUAAGGGCCCAGGUCCUACGGGACGCAGCAGGCGCGAAAACUCCGCAAUGCGCGGAAGCGUGACGGGGUCACCCCGAGUGCCAUCCGCUGAGGGUGGCUUUUGCCCGGUUUAAUGAGCCGGGUGAAUAAGGGGAGGGCAAGCCUGGUGUCAGCCGCCGCGGUAAUACCAGCUCCUCGAGUGGUUGGGACGAUUAUUGGGUUUAAAGCGUUCGUAGCCGGUCGGAAAAGUUCUCCGUUAAAUCCAACGAUCCAAUCGUUGGGCUGCGGGGAAUACUCUUCGGCUUGGGGGCGGGGGAGGUCGACGGUAGUCCCGGGGUAGGGGCGAAAUCCUAUAAUCCCGGGAGGACCACCAGUGGCGUAGGCGGUCGACUAAAACGCGCCCGACGGUGAGGGACGAAAGCUGGGGGAGCGAACGGGAUUAGAUACCCCGGUAGUCCCAGCUGUAAACGAUGCAGGCUAGGUGUUGGGACGGCUACGGGCCGUCUCAGUGCCGCAGGGUAACCAUUAAGCCUGCCACCUGGGAAGUACGGCCGCAAGGCUGAAACUUAAAGGAAUUGGCGGGGGAGCAC
rnacentral:rRNA from 1 species